rnacentral:rRNA from 1 species
AUUGAACGCUGGCGGCAUGCCUUACACAUGCAAGUCGAACGGUAACGGGCCUUCGGGUGCCGACGAGUGGCGAACGGGUGAGUAAUGUAUCGGAACGUACCUUUCAGUGGGGGAUAACGUAGCGAAAGUUACGCUAAUACCGCAUAUUCUGUGAGCAGGAAAGCAGGGGAUCGCAAGACCUUGCGCUGAUUGGGCGGCCGAUAUCAGAUUAGCUAGUUGGUGAGGUAAAGGCUGACCAAGGCGACGGUCUGUAGCGGGUCUGAGAGGAUGAUACGCCACACUGGAACUGAGACACGGGCCAGACUCCUAGGGGAGGCAGCAGGGGGGAAAUUUAGACAAUGGGGGCAACCCUGAUCCAGCCAAGCCGCGUGAGUGAAGAAGGCCUUCGGGUUGUAAAGCUCUUUCGGCCGGGAAGAAAUCGUAUCAGCUAAUACCUGGUGCGGAUGACGGUACCGGCAUAAGAAGCACCGGCUAACUACGUGCCAGCCGCCGCGGUAAUAC